GAUGAACGCUGGCGGCGUGCCUAAUACAUGCAAGUCGAGCGACAACACGAGGAGCUCUUUCCCCUGCCGUUAGCGGCGGACGGGCGAGUAAGACGUGGAUAACCAUCUACUUAGACUGGGAUGAUAUCGGAGAACCGCUGCUACUACUAGAUCAUACAUUCAACCGCUUGGAUCAAUAGUGAUUGACGCCUUUGGCGUCUCAUUUAGCUGGUUUCGGGCUGGAUUAGCUGGUUGGUAAGGUAACGGCUUACCAAGGCAACGAUGCGUAGCCGACCUGAGAGGGUGAUCAGCCACACUGGAACUGAGACACGGUCCAGACUCCUACGGGAGGCAGCAGUAGGGAAUCUUCCGCAAUGGGCGAAAGCCUGACGCAGCAACACCGCGUGAGUGAUGAAGGUCUUCGGAUCGUAAAACUCUGUUAUUAGGGAAGAACAAAUGUGUAAGUAACUAUGCACGUCUUGACGGUACCUAAUCAGAAAGCCACGGCUAACUACGUG
rnacentral:rRNA from 1 species